rnacentral:rRNA from 1 species
UACGUAGGGACCGAGCGUUGUCCGGAUUCAUUGGGCGUAAAGAGCUCGUAGGCGGCUGUUCAAGUCGAACGUGAAAACUCGGGGCUCAACUCCGAGCCUGCGUUCGAUACUGGACGGCUAGAGUCUGGUAGGGGGAUCUGGAAUUCCUGGUGUAGCGGUGGAAUGCGCAGAUAUCAGGAAGAACACCCGUGGCGAAGGCGGCUCUCUGGGACGUGACUGACGCUGAGACGCGAAAGCGUGGGGAGCAAACAGG